UCAUAUGUAUCGCGGGCUGCAUUAGACCCUUCUCCGUAAGUGCGUACACCUGAUGAGACCCAAUUAGGGCGAAACACGCGUCGUGUACACCUUGAACUAUUUGCCAGGGAUACACCAGAAGUUCAUCACAAAGGUCACAACCCAAGAGGGACUAAGGGUGAAUACGGGGAGAAAAAACACAAUCCAGAGGCUUCAAAAAUAAGACCAACCACAGGAAAUUUAGCUUGGACUCGAGGACGUCACUUCUGUUUUUCCGGGUCCAGUGACGGCACUUCCGGUUCUGGGGCUGCUGACGUCACGUCCUGUCCUGUCCCGAGGACGUCAUUUCCGGUUCCUGCCCCGAUGACAUCACUUCCCCUGCCCGGCUUUAAAACCGUCAUCUUUUCCCAUUAUUGUUAAACUGAAAUCUGUUGACGUGUUCUAUGGAACCGACCUUUCAAUUUUGGCAGCCUAAUUCAAAUAUACAAAACGGCUGCCCCCAAACCUCUUGCUGUGUCUGUCCAGUCUUUUCACACUGUACAUGUACUUACUUCUGUGUAGGAAAUCAAAUUAUUGUAAAUGCAAUGUAACGUUCUCCAACCUGCUUAAUCCAAAUUCCCAGAGCCUAUUCACACACACACACACUCAAACUCACACUCAUACAGAGCUAGCUGACCUAACAAAAGUUUUUUAAACUUAGGGCUGUGGCUCCCUGGGGGUCCAUCACACUGUGCUCACCAUUCCAAUUUUGAAGGUUGUCUUUAAAUCACCUCAAAUAGUUUUUAAAUAAAUAAAACUGAAAAUAUUCUGUAGUUGCUUUAUGAAAGUAUUCCUGUAUCAGUUUUGCUAUAGACUGGCACUGUAAUUCUCAACUGGAGGGCCAGAGGGCCUUAAAAGGGAGUGUUAACUGGUAUCUUUCUCCUUGGUUAUUAAAGCCAGUGGAAGACAAUGAUGAAAAA